rnacentral:rRNA from 1 species
UUCCCGUAGGUGAACCUGCGGAAGGAUCAU